rnacentral:rRNA from 1 species
UGGGUAACCUGCCUCAAAGAGGGGAAUAGCCUCCCGAAAGGGAGAUUAAUACCGCAUAAUAUGUUUAGGUCGCAUGACUUUAACAUCAAAGGAUUUUCUUUUAGAAAUUCCACUUUGAGAUGGACCCGCGGCGCAUUAGCUAGUUGGUGUGGUAACGGCUCACCAAGGCAACGAUGCGUAGCCGACCUGAGAGGGUGAUCGGCCACAUUGGAACUGAGACACGGUCCAGACUCCUAGGGAGG